UACAGAGGGGCAAGGCGUUAUUCGGAAUUAUUGGGCGUAAAGCGCGCGUAGGCGGCCCGGUAAGUCCGUCGUGAAAGUCAAAGGCUCAACCUUUGAAUGUCCGAUGGAUACUGCCGGGCUAGAGUCCGGAAGAGGCGAGUGGAAUUCCUGGUGUAGCGGUGGAAUGCGCAGAUAUCAGGAGGAACACCAAUAGCGAAGGCAGCUCGCUGGGACGGGUACUGACGCUAAGGGCGCGAAAGC
rnacentral:rRNA from 1 species